GGAUUCCUACGGGAGGCAGCAGUAGGGAAUAUUGGUCAAUGGAUGCAAGUCUGAACCAGCCAUGCCGCGUGCAGGAAGAAGGCCCUAUGGGUUGUCAACUGCUUUUGCCAGGGGAUAAAAAAGCUAUGCGUAGCGAAUUGAAGGUACCUGGUGAAUAAGCCACGGCUAACUACGUGCCAGCAGCCGCGGUAAUACGUAGGUGGCAAGCGUUGUCCGGAUUUAUUGGGUUUAAAGGGUGCGUAGGCGGCCUUAUAAGUCAGUGCUGAAAUAUCCCGGCUUAACCGGGAGGGUGGCAUUGAUACUGUAGGGCUUGAGUAAAGUUGAGGUAGGCGGAAUUGACGGUGUAGCGGUGAAAUGCUUAGAUAUCGUCAAGAACACCGAUAGUGAAGACAGCUUACUAAACUUUAACUGACGCUGAGGCACGAAAGUGUGGGGAUCAAACAGGAUUAGAUACCCUGGUAGUCCACACUGUAAACGUUGAUGACUCGCUGUGUGCGAUAUACAGUACGCGGCCAAGCGAAAGCGAUAAGUCAUCCACCUGGGGAGUACGCCGGCAACGGUGAAACUCAAAGGAAUUGACGGGGGUCCGCACAAGCGGUGGAGCAUGUGGUUAAUUCGAUGAUACGCGAGGAACCUUACCUGGACUAGAAUGCCCUUGAUUGCCCAGAGAUGGGGAGUUCCGCAAGGACAAGGAGCAAGGUGCUGCAUGGCCGUCGUCAGCUCGUGCCGUGAGGUGUGGGUUAAGUCCCGCAACGAGCGCAACCCUUAUUUUUAGUUGCCAACAGGUUAAGCUGGGGACUCUAAAAAGACUGCCCGCGCAAGCGGAGAGGAAGGAGGGGAUGACGUCAGGUCAUCAUGGCCCUUACGUCCAGGGCUACACACGUGCUACAAUGGCCGGUACAAA
rnacentral:rRNA from 1 species